GACUUUUGGACAAUGGGCGAAAGCCUGAUCCAGCAAUGCCGCGUGCCGGAUGAAGGCCUUCGGGUUGUAAAGUGCUUUGGUACGGCACGACAAGCUUUGGGUUAAUACCCCGGAGGCAUGACGGUACCGUAACAAUAAGCACCGCCUACCCACUUGCCACCAGCCGCUGUAAUCCGUAGGGUGCAAGCGUUAAUCGGAAUUACAGGGCGUAAGGCGUGCGCAGGCGGUUUUGUAAGACAGAGGUGAAAUCCCCGGGCUCAACCGGGGAAAUGCCUUUGUGACUGCAAGGCUAGAGUACGGCAGAGGGGGGUGGAAUUCCGCGUGUAGCAGUGAAAUGCGUAGAUAUGCGGAGGAACACCGAUGGCGAAGGCAACCCCCUGGGCCUGUACUGACGCUCAUGCACGAAAGCGUGGGGAGCAAACA
rnacentral:rRNA from 1 species